UACAGAGGUCUCAAGCGUUGUUCGGAUUUAUUGGGCGUAAAGGGCGCGUAGGCGGCGGGGUAAGUCGGGUGUGAAAUCUCAGGGCUCAACCCUGAAACUGCACUUGAUACUGCUCUGCUUGAGGACUGGAGAGGAGACUGGAAUUCACGGUGUAGCAGUGAAAUGCGUAGAUAUCGUGAGGAAGACCAGUGGCGAAGGCGGGUCUCUGGACAAUUCCUGACGCU
rnacentral:rRNA from 1 species